rnacentral:lncRNA from 1 species
CUUUAGCCUGGAAUUAAAGAGGCAGUGACAGUUUGAUUUCCUGCUGUGUCAAUGAAUGGCUUACUAAGAUUAAAGUCCUUAAACGGACAAAGUCAAAGUCCGUGACAAACUCUGUGCAAUAAAGAAAUCAGAAGUGUUUGUGAGUAGCUUUUAAGUGUUGUUGUUGCUGAUCAAACUAUACAUAUCAAGAGAAAUGAUUUAACUGAUCUCAGAUCAACACAAAGGGCAACCUCAGUCAAAGGUUUUGUUUAUUAUGAAUACAGCAGGUGGACUUCCCCUCCCUCCACACACCCCCUUUCACUCGUUCAAUGCAGCUCUCUGACCAAUCACAGCUCCUGCUGUCUCAUCAGCUAUUCAAAAUGCAGGGCGGUUAAAAUUUAUGCUUGUUUUCUCCUGCUGUCCUUUAUCCUCCAGUGGCAACAUAUGCAUAGUGGCAGUUAAGCUCUUGAAUAGCUGUGAGGAAUCACAUCUGAAUUCAUUUACUACAUUUCUGAGAGUUCAUGUGGGAUGCAUGCGAUUUGGGACAUUUUUAAAAUCAGUCAAGCUGUGGUUUUACUGUAACAUGGACUGUCAGAAGGCACAGAAAGUGACACUGAGCUGUUUCAGGCAAUGGCAGAGAUCAUCUUUUCUUUUACAAACUCAUGGUCAACUCAAACUGACAGUUACUCCGGGCAGCGGGUGGCUCUGUGUUCAAAUUCUGGAGGCCAGGGGACUCAUGGGAAGAGAGUACAAACCAUGUGACUCCUAUGUAAAGGUGGACAUUUUGACAUAUGCAGAUAAGGUCUAG